rnacentral:rRNA from 1 species
AUACGGAGGGUGCAAGCGUUAUUCGGAAUCACUGGGCGUAAAGGACGCGUAGGCGGGUUGGAAAGUCAGAUGUGAAAUCCUACAGCUUAACUGUAGAACUGCAUUUGAAACUUCUGAUCUAGAGUAUGGGAGGGGGAGAUGGAAUUAGUGGUGUAGGGGUAAAAUCCGUAGAUAUCACUAGGAAUACCGAAAGCGAAGGCGAUCUCCUGGAACAUAACUGACGCUAAGGCGUGAAAGCGUGGGGAGCAAACAGGAUUAGAAACCCUAGUAGUCC